rnacentral:rRNA from 1 species
UAGUGGCGCACGGGUGAGUAACGCGUGAACAACCUGCCUUUCAGUGGGGGAUAACACCUGGAAACAAGUGCUAAUACCGCAUGAGACCACGACCUGGCAUCGGGAUGGGGUCAAAGAUUUAUCGCUGAAAGAGGGGUUCGCGUCCCAUUAGGUAGUUGGUGAGAUAACAGCCCACCAAGCCGACGAUGGGUAGCCGAGCUGAGAGGCUGAUCGGCCACACUGGAACUGAGACACGGUCCAGACUCCUACGGGAGGCAGCAGUGGGGAAUAUUGGGCAAUGGGCGCAAGCCUGACCCAGCAACGCCGCGUGAGGGAAGAAGGUCUUCGGAUUGUAAACCUCUGUCGCAAGGGACGAAGGCGUGACGGUACCUUGUGAGGAAGCCCCGGCUAACUACGUGCCAGCAGCCGCGGUAAUACGUAGGGGGCGAGCGUUAUCCGGAUUUACUGGGUGUAAAGGGAGCGCAGGCGGACCGGCAAGUUGGAAGUGAAAACUAUGGGCUCAACCCAUAAAUUGCUUUCAAAACUGCUGGCCUUGAGUAGUGCAGAGGUAGGUGGAAUUCCCGGUGUAGCGGUGGAAUGCGUAGAUAUCGGGAGGAACACCAGUGGCGAAGGCGACCUACUGGGCACCAACUGACGCUGAGGCUCGAAAGCAUGGGUAGCAAACAGGAUUAGAUACCCUGGUAGUCCAUGCCGUAAACGAUGAUUACUAGGGGUUGGAAGGGGUGACCCCUUCCAGUGCCGCAUUUAAACACAAUAAGAUAACCCCCCUGGGGAGUACGCCCGCAGGGUGAAAACUCAAAGGAAUUGACGGGGGCCCGCACAAGCAGUGGAGUAUGUGGUUUAAUUCGAAGCAACGCGAAGAACCUUACCAGGUCUUGACAUCCGAUGCAUAGUGCAGAGAUGCAUGAAGUCCUUCGGGACAUCGAGACAGGUGGUGCAUGGUUGUCGUCAGCUCGUGUCGUGAGAUGUUGGGUUAAGUCCCGCAACGAGCGCAACCCUUAUUGCCAGUUACUACGUUAAGAGGACUCUGGCGAGACUGCCGUUGACAAAACGGAGGAAGGUGGGGAUGACGUCAAAUCAUCAUGCCCUUUAUGACCUGGGCUACACACGUACUACAAUGGCGUUAAACAAAGAGAAGCAAGACCGCGAGGUGGAGCAAAACUCAAAAACAACGUCUCAGUUCAGAUUGCAGGCUGCAACUCGCCUGCAUGAAGUCGGAAUUGCUAGUAAUCGCGGAUCAGCAUGCCGCGGUGAAUACGUUCCCGGGCCUUGUACACACCGCCCGUCA